ACUGAGCUUAUGACUUGUGUUUUGGGCAUGUGUCUUUCUAAAGUAUAUAGGCAAGAAUGAAAUUGCUGGGUCUUCAACUUGACAACUGUCAAACUGUUUUCUAAAGUGACAGUGCCAAAUUAUGCUCACAUCAAUGUGAGAUUAUUUCUCAGUCCCUAUUCCAUGUUUUGCCUACCUGACUACCACUGGAGUUAAAUGUCUUUUAUUAUGUUUAUUUGGCCAUUUGGAUUUUCAAAAUAAAUUGUCUUUCAUAAACUUUGCCCAUUUUUCUGUUGGGCUACUGUCUUUUUCUUAUCACUUGCAUAAAUUAUUUAUAUUAUUAAAUCUCGUAUUUGUUUACAUGACUCAUAGCUAUCUUCUAACAAUGUAUGGCAUGUCUUUUCACUAUUUUUAAGAAAUAAUGUUUAAUUUAGUGCAAGUUAUGAGAUUUCUACUGGUUGGUUUUCCUAAGAUGUCUAUUUUCACAGCUUCUGGUUUAAGAAAAGGGGCAUGAAGUCAGUGAUAUGGUUUGGCUGUGUCCCCAACCAAAUCUCAUCUUGAAUUGUAGCUCCCAUUAUUCCCACAUAAUGGGAAUAAUGUGAGAGGGACCUGGUGUGAGACAAUUGAAUUAUGGGGCCAAUUGCCCCCAUGCUGUUCUCAUGGUAGUGAAUAAGUCUCAUGAGAUCUGAUGGUUUUAUAACCCUUUGUGCCUGGUUCUCAUUCUCUCUUGCCACCACCAUGUAAAAAGUGCCUUCCAUCUUCCACCAUGAUUGUGAUGCUUCCUGAGCCAUGUGGAACUGUAUGUGAGAAGAAACAUAAAGAAAAAUACCUGUGCUUGUGAAAGAAAGAGGCAAAGAAAAUAUUUUGAAGUGAGAAGCCCACAAGAAGGUGUAAUAUCCAAAAUUCUCUUUAUAACAAUGUGAAUUAGGUGCAGACAUUGGGUUGAAAGGUUUUCUGUAACUAAUUGUUAUGGCUGAAGAAAUAACAAGACUGGCUAUAUUUUUAGCGGAUAGCCUGUCAAUGUGGAAAGACAAUAGAAGAUACUUUGUAGUCUGGGAAGAGGUUAAAAAACAUAUACCCAACUAGGUUGUAAUGAAAAUUUCAACCAAAAGGAAAGUGGCACAUACCCAGCUUUAGGAAUCAUAUGCAAACAUCCUGAGAAGAAAACCUUACCUUCUAAAAUGUUAAGUAAUAAAAAAAUGAAUUGACACAGUAUAUAUUCAAAGAUAAAAGGAAAAGUGAGAAAAGAAAUGACAGUAACAUGCAAUGGAUGGAAAAUAAAUAUCACUCCAUAGACAAAAGAAAUUGUGGUCAAACACUUCUCAUAAAUUGUAAAUUCAUAAAUAAGUAAACAUAUAUAUAUGUGCUUGUGUGUUUUAAAUAUUUGUGUUGUGUAAGAACAUGCUUGCAAUUCAUUUGUAGAUCUUGUUGGGGUAUUGGCAAUCAUAUAGCAUAUGCAUAUUGAUAUUUUAAUUUAUUUUUUCUCUUAAUCCUAACUUUGAUUCAUUUGUAUUGUCUUGUAUAGGCUGGGGCAUUUGACACAAGGUUAAGUAGAGGUAGCAAAGUAUAGAAGCAAUGAAAUCAGUAUAUUUCUGCCUUUAAUGAAAGUGCUUCUGAAGCUUCACUGUAUAUAUGCCCAAGAUAACCAUUAUCAGGUUAAGAAAGAUCUUCUCUAUUUAUAAUUUAAAAGAUGCUUUUCCAUGAAUAAGUGUUGAGCUUUUACUAAGUGUAUUUUCCCUUAUAUUAAGGUCAUCAUGAUUUUUUUCUUUUAAUCUGUUAAUUUGGUGAAUUAUAUUAAUCAAGUUUCUAAUGUAAAAUUACCUUUUUUUAUUUUCCCAGAGACAUUUUGCUUUUGCUUUUGCUAAGACCUCAAAAUGUUACCAUUUGGGGAAUAUUUUACUGAUACAUUUUCAGCUUGGGGCUUCUUGGGCAAGGUGAGCCAUAAAAAUGUGAAUUCCUAAAUUUGUAUGAUGGCUCAUAUCUGAUUACUAAUUUUAUAUGAAGUAUUUUCUUCUUCUUCUUUAUUUUAUUUUCACUAAUAGCACUGGCCCUGACAGAUCAACAUUUUUUUUUCCUUUGCUUGUUGAUAUAUUUAUUCUUGUCAAGUGUUUCACUGAAUAUAUAGUUCUUUGGUUCUUCAUUGAAAAUGAACUUUUUGAUUCCCCACUUUCUUCUUUCCAAAGGUUCUAGAUCUGGUCAUCUCUCUUUCUCUGUUGCAUUAAAGUUAAAACCUUUUCACUACUCUUUGGAUACCCCAAAAUGUUUAAGUGCCAAUUUCAGCUUUCACUUGAUGUUGAAGCUCUGAGUAUUUUUCCUUCCUCCUUUUGAGCUUUACUUUCAUUUUCGUUAUAUUUUAACCAGUAUUUCCAGUUUUUUGGUAUAGGGAAUUUUUAGGCUAUCUAGUUAGCCAUACAAAGAAAAAUUAUCAACAGGACAUUUUUGAAGUUAGAUAAUGCUGGUGACCUUGAGUCUGGUAUGCUAAAAAUGUUUGUGUGUAUGUUUUCUGAGUCUUAACUACUUCCUAACAUAAUUUGUGCAAUUUUCUUUCAAAUCCCAAUUCCUUAGUAUUUUUAUGUUUACUUGUACACAUUGUUUUGAUCUCAUAUAAACAAAGACCUUGACUUGCAGUUAUGUGUGUACUUGAUCCUUGACAUAACAUUGGCUCAAAUCAAUAAUUUGAUAACAUAAAGCUGAUUUUGGCCUAUACAAAUAUCUUGGUCCUUCUCUGAGGGUGCUGCUGCAUUGUGUUGAACUGUAAGUUCAAGUUGCUGCCUUUUUUCUCUUCUCAGAAAUAUUCAUAUUAAUAAGCCUUUUGCUUUAUGCCAAAGUAGAACAUUUUUAAUGAAGGAAUCUUAAUUUGAAUUGGCCUAAUGUUAUUAGCAUACUCAGAGAGAUUUACAAAGGGUCAGUUGAAAAGAAUAAAGCUAGUAUUUCAUGAUACAUAAUUUGAAGUUUUUGGUAGUACUGGAAAAUAACAUUUUCAAAUGUAUUUAAAUCUUUCUACUUUUAUAACUGUGUUGUAUAUCAAAGCUAUUUGAAUUAGUUAGGGAAGGAGUUUACUUUUAAUAUAAAUUCAGUGCAUAAUAAGAGCAAGCUUAUAUUGUAGUAACUAUAUGCAGGCAUUGUUUCAACUACUUUACAUAUAUUAACUCAUUUAAUGUGCACAAUGGCCAUCUAUGAAGUAAUUAUUAUUAACCUUUCCAGUUUACAGUUGUGGACAGUAAGGCAUAGUGAGAUAAAGUAUCUUGUGCCAAGUCACACCACUGGUUAGAAUAGAGCUUAGAGAGUAAAACUCAGUCAAGAAUCCAUAGUCUAGUCCCUUAACUACAUGAUAUUACUUUCUUUUCCUGGCUGCAAAAUAUAUUUUCUAUGAUUUCUAUGGUUUAUUCUAUAUUAAAUAAUGUAUUAAAGGGGUAUAAUGAAUUUGAUGCUCAAUUAGCCUGUUUUUGAAGAAAGCUUAUAUACAUUUUGCAUAGCAGGUUUAUAUUCAAAAUUGACAGAUAGUAUAAGCUUUUAAAAAUCUUUGAAGACACCCAUAUUUUGUAUUAAGUGCCUCAUAAAAUUAUUUUAAAAUAUGUAUGUAACUUGUACUGUCUUCCUUAAUAAAUUUCUGCAUACGUCUUGGUUUAUUCAGCUUUUGUAAAUCUUAUUACCCACACAAGAUGCAGAUCAUCAUAAUAUAUUUUAGAUUGAUCAGGUUAGUAUUAUUGACCUGGAAUGAACAUUAAAGAUU
rnacentral:lncRNA from 1 species